rnacentral:rRNA from 1 species
AUACGGAGGAUCCGAGCGUUAUCCGGAUUUAUUGGGUUUAAAGGGUGCGCAGGCGGCCAUUUAAGUCAGCGGUUAAAUCGUGGGGCUCAACCCCAUUCUGCCGUUGAUACUGGGUGGCUUGAUUGCGGUCGAGGUUGGCGGAAUUCGUUGUGUAGCGGUGAAAUGCAUAGACAUGACGAAGAACACCGAUUGCGUAGGCAGCUGACCAGACCGCAAAUGACGCUCAUGCACGAAAGUGCGGGGAUCGAACAGGAUUAGAUACCCUGGUAGUCCGCACAGUAAACGAUGAAUACUUGUUUUCGGCGAUAUAAUGUCGGAGGCAAAGCGAAAGCGAUAAGUAUUCCACCUGGGGAGUACGCCGGCAACGGUGAAACUCAAAUGAAUUGACGGG